GACGAACGCUGGCGGCGUGCCUAAUACAUGCAAGUAGGACGCAGUUGCGAACGGGUGAGUAACGCGUAGGUAACUGCCUAUUAGAGGGGGAUAACUAUUGGAAACGAUAGCUAAUACCGCAUACUAGUAGAUGGACCUGCGUUGUAUUAGCUAGUAGGUUGGGUAAUGGCCUACCUAGGAGACGAUACAUCGCCGACCGGGAGGGGUGAACGGCCAACCUGGGACUUGGACAAGGCCCAGACUCCGACGGGAGGCAGCAGUAGGGAAACGUCGGCAAUGGGGGGAACCCUGACCAGGCAACGCCGCGUGAGUGAAGAAGGUUUUCGGAUCGUAAAGCUCUGUUGUUAAGGAAGCGGUACUUAACCAGAAAGGGACGGCUAACUACGUGCCAGCAGCCGCGGUAAUUC
rnacentral:rRNA from 1 species